GGAGAGUUGUCCUCCGAGACUGUCUCAUCUCCAACAGGACCCAGGACAACAAGAGUGUGUUUCUGACCUGCUCAGACUUCUACCCUGGUGUCAAGACGUUGGUCUCCUCAGAGGGAGUUUUUCAGUCCAGGGGGCACAGGGCUCUUGUGAGGUCCGGUGCAGACUUCAGUGUCUCCUGCUUUUUAGAUAAACCAUUCUACUCUGGUUUUUUUCCACCUGCUGGCUCCAAGUGGGAAUUACACCCUGCCAUCUGUCAAUCACUCUGCACACUUCCUGUUCACAGCCUUUGGUCCUGAACACACAGGGAACUACACCUGUGGUUACAGUGAAGUUAAUUCAAGUAAAAUCCUAAAGAACGUGACCCUGUACAUCGGCCGUGGAGUGGCAGACUCAGACCUGCUCCUGAGAGCCGGGAUCCAUGUUCUCAUCCUGCUCAUCUCCACCACUGCACUGUACUUCUACUGCCAGGUAAAACACAGGACAAAAACAAGACCAGACCACAACUCUGAUCCAAAGUUCAGAGGUUAGAAUCCUGCUCCCACAUAAAACAGUAUUGAUACCACCUCCCACUGAUGAAUGCUGUUGUUGUGCCUUUGGGCAAGACACUUAGUCCUCCC